GUGGAGUGCGGCAGCUACACAUGCAGUCGAACGGUAGCACAGAGAGCUUGCUCUCGGGUGACGAGUGGCGGACGGGUGAGUAAUGUCUGGGAAACUGCCUGAUGGAGGGGGAUAACUACUGGAAACGGUAGCUAAUACCGCAUAACGUCGCAAGACCAAAGAGGGGGACCUUCGGGCCUCUUGCCAUCAGAUGUGCCCAGAUGGGAUUAGCUAGUAGGUGGGGUAACGGCUCACCUAGGCGACGAUCCCUAGCUGGUCUGAGAGGAUGACCAGCCACACUGGAACUGAGACACGGUCCAGACUCCUACGGGAGGCAGCAGUGGGGAAUAUUGCACAAUGGGCGCAAGCCUGAUGCAGCCAUGCCGCGUGUAUGAAGAAGGCCUUCGGGUUGUAAAGUACUUUCAGCGGGGAGGAAGGUGUUGUGGUUAAUAACCGCAGCAAUUGACGUUACCCGCAGAAGAAGCACCGGCUAACUCCGUGCCAGCAGCCGCGGUAAUACGGAGGGUGCAAGCGUUAAUCGGAAUUACUGGGCGUAAAGCGCACGCAGGCGGUCUGUCAAAGUCGGAUGUGAAAUCCCCGGGCUCAACCUGGGAACUGCAUUCGAAACUGGCAGGCUGGAGUCUUGUAAAGGGGGGUAGAAUUCCCCGUGUAGCGCUGAAAUGCGUACAGAUCUGUAGGAGGACCGGAGUCGAAGGGGGCC
rnacentral:rRNA from 1 species